AAAAAGCUCGUAGUCGAAAUUGUGUCCUCGGCCGCCGGUUCGUCGCUCGCGACGCCAACUGGCGCGCACGCUGGACGUCCAGCCGGUACUACGAACUCGCCUACGGGGUGCUCUUAACCGAGUGUCCAGGCGGGGGCCGGCAACGUUACUUUGAACAAAUUAAAGUGCUUAAAGCAGGCUAAAUUGCGCUCGCAUACACGCGCAUGGAAUAAUCGAAUAGGACCUCCGUUCUAUUUUGUUGGGUUUUUGUGGAACGACAGACGGAGGUAAUGAUCAAUGGGUGCGGAUGGGGGCAUUCGUAUUGCGACGUUAGAGGUGAAAUUCUUGGAUCGUCGCAAGACGGACUUAAGCGAAAGCAUUUGCCAAAAACGCUUUCAUCGAUCAAGAACGAAAGUUAGAGGUUCGAAGGCGAUCAGAUACCGCCCUAGUUCUAACCAUAAACUAUGCCAGCUAGCGAUCCGCCGAAGUUACUUUUAUGACUCGGCGGGCAGCUUCCGGGAAACCAAAGCUUUCGGGUUCCGGGGGAAGUAUGGUUGCAAAGCUGAAACUUAAAGGAAUUGACGGAAGGGCACCACCAGGAGUGGAGCCUGCGGCUUAAUUUGACUCAACACGGGAAACCUCACCAGGCCCGGACACCGGAAGGAUUGACAGAUUGAGAGCUCUUUCUUGAUUCGGUGGGUGGUGGUGCAUGGCCGUUCUUAGUUGGUGGAGCGAUUUGUCUGGUUAAU
rnacentral:rRNA from 2 species